CUACGGGUCGCUGCAGUGAGGAAUAUUGCACAAUGGGGGGAACCCUGAUGCAGCAACGCCGCGUGGAGGAGGACGCAUUUCGGUGUGUAAACUCCUUUUAUAUGUCAAGAAAAUGACGGUAGCAUAUGAAUAAGCACCGGCUAACCCCGUGCCAGCAGCCGCGGUAAUACGGAGGGUGCAAGCGUUACUCGGAAUCACUGGGCGUAAAGGACGCGUAGGCGGGUUGGAAAGUCAGGUGUGAAAUCCUACAGCUUAACUGUAGAACUGCACUUGAAACUUCUAAUCUAGAGUAUGGGAGGGGGAGAUGGAAUUAGUGGUGUAGGGGUAAAAUCCGUAGAUAUCACUAGGAAUACCUAAAGCGAAGGCGAUCUCCUGGAACAUUACUGACGCUAAGGCGUGAAAGCGUGGGGAGCAAACAGGAUUAGAUACCCCGGUAGUC
rnacentral:rRNA from 1 species